UACGAAGGGUGCAAACGUUGCUCGGAAUUAUUGGGCGUAAAGCGCACGUAGGCGGCAUCGCAAGUCGGAUGUGAAAUCCCUCGGCUUAACCAAGGAAGUGCAUCCGAAACUGCAGUGCUUGAGUACUUAAGAGGAUCGCGGAAUUCCCGGUGUAGAGGUGAAAUUCGUAGAUAUUGGGAAGAACACCGAUGGCGAAGGCAGCCAUCUGGACCGACACUGACGCUGAGGCGCGAAAGCGUGGGGAGCAAACAGG
rnacentral:rRNA from 1 species